UAUGUAACUGGACCCCAUAAAAGGGCAAUUGUGCAAUAAGCACCCAAUAAAACCCAAAGGACCGUAACUCAAAUUGCACCCAUACUGGGGGGAGGUGGCAAAAGAACGAUGGAAAGUACCAAGAGACCCUAACUCUCUAAUUCCUAAUAAGGUUGUUAUCUACAUGUGUAUAACUUAAUUCCUAAUACGGACAAUUAUUACUUAACUGUGUGUAAUUUGUUUGCGGUUUUAAGGUCUAAAAGGCUGCUGCGCGCUUAUCAUCAGGGGAGCAGUUCCAAUACUGCUACCCUCAACGCGUUGGUGUGUUAUCAAUGGGCCUCAGGCUUGAGUCUCUCAACUAAAAGUGAUGCGUGGGUGAAUUUUCCACAACAUGGGGAACCAUGGCCAACGGGAGCUUCAGGGGAGGUACUCACAGGUAAGAGUGGCAUGCAGAGCCCUCUGCCCCUCCCUGCCCUAGGGACCACAGGGACCUGGUGCCAGCCAGUUCCUGGAGCGGCGCGGGGCUGGGGGCCUGUCCUGGCCCCGGUGCAUGCCACUGCCACCCCGGAGCUGCUACAGCCGUGCAAGGAGAUGGCACUAGAGAAGCACUUUUCCUCCCAUUCUGAGCUCUCCAUUUAUAAAUUACAUACCUCAUUAAGGCUUGGACCCCAAGAACAGCCACAGAGAAGGGGAUGCACUGGAGAGGCCAGGUCCCAGAAUCCUUAGAGUGGCUGUUCCUAGCUAAAGACAAUGAACAUGACACAGGAGGUAAGCACUGGAGUCACCACACCAAUGACCAGACACGUCCUGAUAUCAUGCCAGCAUGCGGAAACUUCCUGUGAGAUUUGCACCAGAUCAAGUAAAGCAAUAAACAUGGAAAUAGUCCUAUAUUUGGAGAAUAACCUAAAGAGCUAAGAUGAGUAAUUUUAUACACCCUAGCAGCUUAUAUUGUUCUUUAUGCUUUUCUGAGCAGGUUAAAGUGGCUGUGAAAAGAGGCUGUUUAACUGCACAGUGUAAAGAAAAAAAAUCUUAUAAAAGCCACACAAAAAAAUAAAGUUGGUGAUUUCA